GACGAACGCUGGCGGCGUGCCUAAUACAUGCAAGUAGAACGCUGAAGCUUGGUGCUUGCACCGAGCGGAUGAGUUGCGAACGGGUGAGUAACGCGUAGGUAACCUGCCUGGUAGCGGGGGAUAACUAUUGGAAACGAUAGCUAAUACCGCAUAAGAGUAGAUGUUGCAUGACAUUUGCUUAAAAGGUGCAAUUGCAUCACUACCAGAUGGACCUGCGUUGUAUUAGCUAGUUGGUGAGGUAACGGCUCACCAAGGCAACGAUACAUAGCCGACCUGAGAGGGUGAUCGGCCACACUGGGACUGAGACACGGCCCAGACUCCUACGGGAGGCAGCAGUAGGGAAUCUUCGGCAAUGGACGGAAGUCUGACCGAGCAACGCCGCGUGAGUGAAGAAGGUUUUCGGAUCGUAAAGCUCUGUUGUAAGAGAAGAACGAGUGUGAGAGUGGAAAGUUCACACUGUGACGGUGUCUUACCAGAAAGGGACGGCUAACUACGUG
rnacentral:rRNA from 1 species